CCAGGUGGAGGGGAAGGGCCUAACAGGCAGAGGGAACAGCCCCAGAGAGAUCCCUGAGGCAAUCAUGCAAGCCAAAAAGAAAGCAGUGAGGAUGUAAAGGAGACAAUCUCCUGGGAGCCAAGAUUUCCUAACUGAUAAAGUGUGAGCUAGAGGGAGCCUCAGUUCAGCCUGAGGCAGGUCCCAGCAAAUUUAGGACUUCAAGUCACACUGGUCAGCGUUAACUUCCUUGACAGAAAAACCACACCCACCAAGUCUUCCGCCAGGCCCUCUAACCCUCUACUUUCCGACACAGAAGAGAGGGCAGAGCACCGCAGUCUGUCUGCCUUGGGGUCAAAGUGAGUAAUUUUCCAGGCAGAGGAGGAAGAUUAAGAAGGCAGGCGCUAACUCCUUCGGGUAUGAUGAAUUCCUGGGAUCCCAGAACAGCUGGGCUGGAAGGGACCUCGAAAAGGGAAUUGCCAACACAUGCCCCGUACCAGGCCCUGAGCCCGGCCUUUUCGUGAACAUUGUCUUAACACUUCUAACUCCACUUUGAGUCCUCAUUCCUUUUCACCUUU
rnacentral:lncRNA from 1 species